rnacentral:rRNA from 1 species
CAAUAGCGUAUAUUAAAGUUGUUGCGGUUAAAAAGCUCGUAGUUGGAUUUCUGCCGAGGACGACCGGUCCGCCCUCUGGGUGUGUAUCUGGUUUGGCCUGGGCAUCUUCUUGGAGAACGUAGCUGCACUUGACUGUGUGGUGCGGUGUCCAGGACUUUUACUUUGAGGAAAUUAGAGUGUUUCAAGCAGGCAUACGCCUUGAAUACGUUAGCAUGGAAUAAUAAGAUAGGACCUCGGUUCUAUUUUGUUGGUUUCUAGAGCUGAGGUAAUGAUUAAUAGGGAUAGUUGGGGGCAUUCGUAUUUAACUGUCAGGGGUGAAAUUCUUGGAUUUGUUAAAGACGGACUACUGCGAAAGCAUUUGCCAAGGAUGUUUUCAUUGA